GAUGAACGCUAGCGGCAGGCCUAACACAUGCAAGUCGAGGGGUAGAAGGAGCUUGCUCCUUUGAGACCGGCGCACGGGUGCGUAACGCGUAUGCAAUCUACCUUGUACAGGGGAAUAGCCCAGAGAAAUUUGGAUUAAUGCCCCAUAGUAUAUAACCUUCGCAUGUUGGUUAUAUUAAAGUUCCAACGGUACAAGAUGAGCAUGCGUCCCAUUAGUUAGUUGGUAAGGUAACGGCUUACCAAGACGAUGAUGGGUAGGGGUCCUGAGAGGGAGAUCCCCCACACUGGUACUGGGACACGGACCAGACUCCUACGGGAGGCAGCAGUGAGGAAUAUUGGUCAAUGGUCGCAAGACUGAACCAGCCAUGCCGCGUGCAGGAAGACGGUCCUAUGGAUUGUAAACUGCUUUUAUACAGGAAGAAACCCUCCCACGUGUGGGAGCUUGACGGUACUGGAGGAAUAAGGAUCGGCUAACUCCGUG
rnacentral:rRNA from 1 species